rfam:Triticum aestivum genome assembly, contig: Triticum_aestivum_CS42_TGACv1_scaffold_715705_T_5AS-0.116371_3DS-0.079341
GGAUGCGAUCAUACCAGCACUAAAGCACCGAAUCCCAUCAGAACUUUCAAGUUAAGCGUGCUUGGGCGAGAGGAGUACUAGGAUGGGUGACCUCCUGGGAAGUCCUCGUGUUGCAUUCC